rnacentral:lncRNA from 1 species
AAAUCUUAAACACUAUUUGUCCUACAUAUAUAUCAAAUAUGUGAAUGUAUUAUGUAAAGCAGGUGACAACAUUUUAGUAAAAUUUGGAAAAACACAAUUGUUUCUUUGGAUUAUUAGUGUUUCAUACUAUUAAUGCAUUGUCUUAAAGUAUACAUCCCUAUAAUUAUGGUUCAAAUAUUUACAACACUAACUCAAGGAAGUUUUAGUAGUAUAGUAGUCCCCCAAGUUUAUUCAUGCGAGAUGUAUUUCAAGACCCUUAGUAGAUACUUGAAACCUAGGAUAGUACUAAGCCUAUAUAUACUGUGUUUUUGUAUACAUACCUACCUAUAAUAAACUUUAAUUUAUAAAUUAGGCACAGUAAGAGAUUAACAACAAUAACUAAUAUAAAAAUAAAAUUAUUAUAAUAUACUCUAAUAAAAGUUGUUUGAAUUUGAUCUUUAUCUCUCGAAAUAUUGUAUCGUAUUAUAACUACUCAUCUAUUUUAGGACUGUAACUGAAACUGCAGAUAAAGGGGGAAUACUUUAUAGUUAUAUCAGAUAAAAGAUAAAUGAGAAUUCAGCCAAGCACUGUAUGCUAGACCAAGAAUGUAUACUUUGUUGCUGAGUUUUGCAAGUAAUAAGCAAUCUGUAGUGAGGUGAUGCAGCUGGCUUGGAGAACAGAAGCUGGACAUAAAAUGUUCAAAGGGUUGUAUGGCUAGCUUUGGGACUGAGUGACUAUGCAUAAAGCCUAAAAAAAAAAAAAAAGAACAGGGUCAGUGGAUUCUCAAGGUACGAUGGAUCAUGUUAUCUCAUCUUCGUCACUUAAGGAGUUUCUUACAUGUUUAAGUGCAGAGUGACUGAUUAGCAAAGUCAUGCGUGGAGCACUGAGAGCUUCACCAUGCUGUUGCUAUGCAUGUUGUGUUGUUGUUUGUCCUGUGUUCUUUAAUAAAGCAAAGCAAAUGUUUAUUAGUUAAAACCUGACCUGUCUCAUUAUUUUAUUCAAUGAUGUGAAGUCAAGACCACUGCUGCCAGUUGAGCAGAGUGAAGGAGGCACUCAACAAUACCUUUUUGAUUAAACUCGUUUCUGCCAGUUGCUUUUGCCAAUGCUGAAGUUUGAAUAGGACACAUACUAUAAAAAAGAAACCAAAAUUUAACGAUCAUCUGUUUCAACUCUUCUAUUUAUCAGGUGAUGUAAACUAUGUCGUUGAUUGCUGUUCAAUAUUUACCAACACCAUGGGCAUCAUUAGACUUCAUUUUAUUCAGAAACUCAAGAAAUCGUGGUACCUUUGGAUUGUUUGAAACCAGAACCUAAGAAAUCCUCCACAAUGAAAAUUCAACAUUGGAAUAAAAAUCAGAAUAGAAAUGUCUUUUCAAAUUGACUGCAAAAAUCAUCAGCUGGCUAUAGUUUAGACGUAAUCCGUCCAAGUGAAGAGGCAACAAUUCAAAUCUUCCAGGCCCAUUAUUUUGAAUAUAUGGAGGUUACAAUGGAAAUAUUUGCAUCAAAUAACUUUAUUAAAAUGGAUUAGCAAUUUUUAGUUAUAGUGCACAUCUCCCUUAAAAGAAAAACUGUUCACAGAAAACAUGUCACUUUGUACUCAUUAUCUGUUUUUAGCAAACAUUCAGGACUCAAUGUUGUCCUCAAUGUUAGAAUUUCUUAAAUUGAAAAGUAUCACAAUAAUAAUCCUUGGAACCUGUUCUACAAUAUUACAAAGUGUCAAUAUGGGAUGUGACUAUAAAAUGAUAAUAAUGAACCACAUUUUCUUGCACUCAGAUGAACACUAGUAUUAUAUAAUUAGUUGGGAAGGCAAGCAAUUUUGCUUUCACAUUAAAAGAAAUGCAAAGGCCAUUUCUUGGAGUGAGGAUUAUUUAUUCUAUGAAGCUAAAUGGGAAAAGUAGAUAAGCAGAUACUGCUUAUAUCUCAAUAGAAAAUUGCAAUCAUACAAAUAUUAGGAUAUCAACAUUUCCAAUUUGGUUUAGUACAUCCAAACAAACGUAACAGAUAAAGUUAAGGUGAUAUUAUUACAUUUUCUGUCUCUAGGCUCUAAGAGUUUAACAUAUCUUUCC